UACGUAGGUGGCAAGCGUUACUCGGAAUCACUAGGCGUAAAGCGCAGGUAGGCGAUUUGAUAAGUCUCUUGUGAAAGCUCCCGGCUCAACUGGGAGAGGUCAAGGGAAACUGUCAGGCUAGAGUGUGGCAGAGGAAGCUAGAAUUCCCGGUGUAGCGGUGAAAUGCGUAGAUAUCGGGAGGAAAUACCUAUGGCGAAAGCAGGCUUCUGGGCCGUCACUGACGCUGAUCUGCGAAAGCUAGGGGGAGCAAACAGG
rnacentral:rRNA from 1 species